rnacentral:rRNA from 1 species
GGAGUACGGCCGCAAGGUUAAAACUCAAAUGAAUUGACGGGGGCCCGCACAAGCGGUGGAGCAUGUGGUUUAAUUCGAUGCAACGCGAAGAACCUUACCUGGUCUUGACAUCCACAGAACUUAGCAGAGAUGCUUUGGUGCCUUCGGGAACUGUGAGACAGGUGCUGCAUGGCUGUCGUCAGCUCGUGUUGUGAAAUGUUGGGUUAAGUCCCGCAACGAGCGCAACCCUUAUCCUUUGUUGCCAGCGGUUAGGCCGGGAACUCAAAGGAGACUGCCAGUGAUAAACUGGAGGAAGGUGGGGAUGACGUCAAGUCAUCAUGGCCCUUACGACCAGGGCUACACACGUGCUACAAUGGCGCAUACAAAGAGAAGCGACCUCGCGAGAGCAAGCGGACCUCAUAAAGUGCGUCGUAGUCCGGAUUGGAGUCUGCAACUCGACUCCAUGAAGUCGGAAUC